GACGAACGCUGGCGGCGUGCUUAACACAUGCAAGUCGAACGGAAAGGCCUGCUUUCCCUUGUGGAUUGCGGGUACUCGAGUGGCGAACGGGUGAGUAACACGUGAGUGAUCUGCCCCCAACUUGGGUAUAAGCCUGGGAAACUGGGUCUAAUUCCCGAUAGGACUGCAGGGUGGUGCCUGUGGUGGAAAACGAUUUUCUAGUGGUUGGGGAUGAGCUCGCGGCCUAUCAGCUUGUUGGUGGGGUAAUGGCCUACCAAGGCGGCGACGGGUAGCCGGCCUGAGAGGGUGGACGGCCACAUUGGGACUGAGAUACGGCCCAGACUCCUACGGGAGGCAGCAGUGGGGAAUAUUGCACAAUGGGCGGAAGCCUGAUGCAGCGACGCCGCGUGGGGGAUGACGGCCUUCGGGUUGUAGACUCCUUUCGACCGCGAGGAAGCCACCUGGUUGGAAGGGUGGUGACGGUAGUGGUAGAAGAAGCACCGGCUAACUACGUG
rnacentral:rRNA from 1 species